rnacentral:lncRNA from 10 species
UGAAGUCCAAGAUUAAGGCACUGGCAGGUCUGACCAGAGCAUCUGAGAGAUGAGCAAAAAAACAUCUCCUGAAAAGCCAAGGGAAGGUGCCAGCCUCACAGGUUUUGGGGGCUGGUGAAAAGGGAGUAGACAUUCUGCGGGCAGUUUGGUCAUCUACCUGGAGGCUUCAAGUUCUGCACAUGCCUUGACCGACCUGGUGAUUUUCCUUCUAGAAAUGUAAUCUAAAGAAAUCAUUGUGACCGCACCAGUGAUGUAGCAAAGAACAUUCACUACAGUGUUUUUUAAAAUACUGACAAAUUAGAAAUAAGGUGUCUAACAAUGCUGGCGAUGUUAAAUCAACUAUGGUACAUCCAUUAAAGAAAAUAAUAUGCAGCCUUUUAUAACGGCUUGGUAAAGGUUAUUGUACUGAAGUGUUUGAUAUAUUACAUGGAAAAAGCAGAUUCUAGAAUAAUCUGUGCUAUGCAGAGAUCAUUAUUUUGAUUAUAUAUCCUGGAAUAAUAUCUAUUUUGAUUAUAUAUCCUGGAAUGAUACACGCCAAAUGGCUAAGAGUGACACCUCUAGGUUAUAGAAUUAGGGUUGAUUUUAUGUAUUCUCCCUUUCUUCCUUUGAUUCUUUUUCUCAUGUGUAUUUUUCUAUAAUAAGUGUAUAGUUCUGCGUAAUAAAAAAAAAAAAAGCUAAUGUCAGCUUGAGGCAUAAGUGCAUUCUGAGAAUCCUUGCUCACCAAGGUCAAGGCCAGAAGCAGCAGGAAAUUUGGAAAGCCAGAGAUGUCAAAAAUGAGCAUCAACAACAAAAUUAAGAAAUCAAGACAACACCUAUUGUGGCAAAGAGUUUCAAGGAAAAGACCAAUUCCAGGAAGGAAGAAUCAGAGCCUUCAGCAGGGUGACUAAGCCAUGACAGGGACUAGAAAAUCUGCUGAUAGACAGGUGAGGUGGUGACUGAUAUUGACACCUGGCUCAGUUCCCCA